rnacentral:rRNA from 1 species
AGCAGCCGCGGUAAUUCCAGCUCCAAUAGCGUAUAUUAAAGUUGUUGCAGUUAAAAAAGCUCGUAGUUGAAUUUCGGGAUCAAUCUGUUGGUCGUGCCUUUGGUACGUACUAGCUUAUUGAUUUCUCCCUUCUGACGAACCAUGAUGUCAUUAAUUUGGUGUCAUGGGAAAUCAGGACUGUUACUUUGAAAAAUUAGAGUGUUUAAAGCAGGCUCACGCUUGAAUACAUUAGCAUGGAAUAAUGAAAUAGGACGUUUUGAUUCUAUUUUGUUGGUUUCUAGGAUCGACGUAAUGAUUAAUAGGGAUAGUUGGGGGCAUUAGUAUUCAAUUGUCAGAGGUGAAAUUCUUGGAUUUAUUGAAGACUAACUACUGCGAAAGCAUUUGCCAAGGAUGUUUUCAUUAAUCAAGAACGAAAGUUAGGGGAUCGAAGACGCUCAGAUACCGUCGUAGUCUUAACCAUAAACUAUGCCGACUAGGGAUCGGAUGAUGUAAUUUUUUAAUGUACUCAUU